rnacentral:rRNA from 1 species
UACGUAGGGGGCGAGCGUUGUCCGAAGUUACUGGGCGUAAAGCGCGCGUAGGCGGUUAUUUAAGUUCGGGGUGAAAGGUUCAGCGCUCAACGCGAACAGUGCCUUGAAUACUGGAUGACUUGAGUUCGGGAGAGGGCAGUGGAAUUCCUGGUGUAGCGGUGAAAUGCGUAGAUAUCAGGAGGAACACCGGUGGCGAAGGCGGCUCACUGGCUCGUAACUGACGCUCAUGCACGACAGCGUGGGGAUCAAACAGG